rnacentral:rRNA from 1 species
UACGUAGGGUGCAAGCGUUAAUCGGAAUUACUGGGCGUAAAGCGUGCGCAGGCGGUUCUAUAAGACAGAUGUGAAAUCCCCGGGCUCAACCUGGGAACUGCAUUUGUGACUGUAGAGCUGGAGUACGGCAGAGGGGGAUGGAAUUCCGCGUGUAGCAGUGAAAUGCGUGGAUAUGCGGAGGAACACCGAUGGCGAAGGCAAUCCCCUGGGCCUGUACUGACGCUCAUGCACGAAAGCGUGGGGAGCAAACAGG